rnacentral:rRNA from 1 species
AGUGAACGCUGGCGGUAGGCCUAACACAUGCGAGUCGAACAGCAGCACAGUAAGAGCUUGCUCUUACGGGUGGCGAGUGGCGGACGGGUGAGGAAUACAUCGGAAUCUACUUUUUCGUGGGGGAUAACGUAGGGAAACUUACGCUAAUACCGCAUACGACCUACGGGUGAAAGCAGGGGAUCUUCGGACCUUGCGCGAUUGAAUGAGCCGAUGUCGGAUUAGCUAGUUGGCGGGGUAAAGGCCCACCAAGGCGACGAUCCGUAGCUGGUCUGAGAGGAUGAUCAGCCACACUGGAACUGAGACACGGUCCAGACUCCUACGGGAGGCAGCAGUGGGGAAUAUUGGACAAUGGGCGCAAGCCUGAUCCAGCCAUACCGCGUGGGUGAAGAAGGCCUUCGGGUUGUAAAGCCCUUUUGUUGGGAAAGAAAAGCAGCAGGUUAAUACCCCGCUGUUCUGACGGUACCCAAAGAAUAAGCACCGGCUAACUUCGUG